UAUUACCCAAAACAUUUAUGUUUCAUUCACUCUCUUUCUCCCUCUUUAUCGUCUAACCCUUUCCCCUCUCUCUGUUCUAUCUUUCUUUCAAAACCCUAAUCGCCGCCGCUGCCGCUAUCUCCAUAUCUCCACCACCGUGUACAUCCGAUUCACCGUUCAUCUUUCCAGGUUCACCGAAUCAGAUUCGUAAAGUCACAUUCUGCGACUGACACCUCCAACACCAUCUCUCAGCUCCGAUCUGCGCCGACGCACCUAGGAAUUCCCGGUUGCAGUUCUGCAUAAAGCUGAAGAUGUCACAAGAUUUAUAUAUCUUUACUCAUUUGGUAGGGUGGGAAACAAAGCAACAAAAUGCGAAGUGGAUGAGAAUUCCAAAUCAAAAUUUUUAGCCCAGCAGGUCUAUGACACUUGGGAGGUAAGGAUUAAGAUAUCAUUUCUUAUGUUCAUGUAAAUGUUCGUCUUGGGACUCCUCGGUCUUGUGAUUGAUCAGAAUCUGUAUUAUGCUGAGUUGAAAUUCACUCCUCCAACAUACUUAUGUGCUAUUAGCAAUAUUCUCCCUACAAUGACUUUUUUACACUUCAAAUCAUUGGGAACACUUCAAUCAAUUGCAGUUACAUUUGUUAUGGAGACUAAACCAAAUGUUUGGAACAUUGGUUAUGAUAUGAACCUACAUUUCUAUUUUGAACAUUGGUUGCCAUAGCUAAGGAAACUGGUAGGAGACUUGGUACGUUUUGUUUAUGAUAUGAACCUACAUUUCUAUCUUUCCAGGUUUAUAUUUGUUUAACUACUAACUAUUGUGACACGUUUGCCUUUUGUUCUUUCUUAUUUGCGAGAAUAUCUUAAAGCUGCUUUUUACUAAUGGAACCACUGUCACGAAGCUAAACAUUCCUUAAAUCCCAAAACACAAGUUCAUUUUCAAGCCUAUUGUUGAUUUGUUAACGGAAAAUUUUCAAGCUGGCCGUUUAUACGAGUUAAAUUUGGUGACAUGGAACGGGAAGCACUGCUUUGUAAAGCUCGCAAACUUAUGGGUCAAGGCUGCGAAAUCGAAGGGAACUGCGCCUGUUAUUGAUGUGACGCAACAUGGGUUCUUUAAGGUUCUUGGUAAGGGUGUUUUGCCGAGUAAUCAGCUGAUUGUUGUUAAGGCAAAGCUGAUUUCGGAGAUCGCGGAGAAGAAAAUUAAGGAGGCUGGUGGUGAUGUUGUUCUUAAUGCUUGGGUUUUUAUUUUGUUGCUUUUUUGAAAUUUUCAGUAAUUUGAUUUCCUACAUUUGUAUUUGAUCUUAUGUUGGUUAGCUUAAAUGGGUAUGUUUUGGAAUAUUACAUGUUUUGGUUAUAAUUAAAUUAUAUGCUUCUGAUAAAAAAAGUCCAGAUCAAGUUUAGAGUUGAUGGUGAAUGGAAAAUUUAUUUGUUACCGGCA